UAACACGUGGAUAACCUACCUAUAAGACUGGGAUAACUUCGGGAAACCGGAGCUAAUACCGGAUGAUAUUUUGAACCGCAUGGUUCAAAAGUGAAAGACUGUCUUGCUGUCACUUAUAGAUGGAUCCGCGCUGCAUUAGCUAGUUGGUAAGGUAACGGCUUACCAAGGCAACGAUGCAUAGCCGACCUGAGAGGGUGAUCGGCCACACUGGAACUGAGACACGGUCCAG
rnacentral:rRNA from 1 species